AUUGAACGCUGGCGGCAGGCCUAACACAUGCAAGUCGAACGAGUGGCGGACGGGUGAGUAAUGUCUGGGAAACUGCCCGAUGGAGGGGGAUAACAACUGGAAACGGUAGCUAAUACCGCAUACCAUCGGAUGUGCCCAGAUGGGAUUAGCUUGUAGGUGAGGUAACGGCUCACCUAGGAGACGAUCCCUAGCUGGGCGGAGAGGAUGACCAGCCACGCUGGAACUGAUACACGGUCCAGACGCCUACGAUGGGCAGCCGUGGGGAAUAUUUCACAAGGGGCUCAGUCCUGAUGCAUCCAUGCCGCGUGUAUGAAGAAGGCCUUCCGGUUGUAAAGUACUUUCAGCGGGGCGGCGGUACCCGCAGAAGAAGCACCGGCUAACUACGUGCCAGCAGCCGCGGUAAUUC
rnacentral:rRNA from 1 species